GGGGGGGGGAUGAAGUGAGCGCGCCCGGGGUGCGGACCCCAGGCUGGGGAGCGAGAAGUCAGAUCGUUCCCUGUGGUGAAAUAAAAACACUCGAAAAGCCGACAGGCCUGGUUGUGCCUUACAGAACCACAGCACGAGGUUCCUGUAGAAGAAGGGCUCCCUGCUGACAUCACUGAGUUGCUCUGAAGAGGGAAUGUCCUGCUGCUUCUCACAGCUUCCCCACCACAGGCAAGUGCAUGCACCCCUGGGUUGCAGAGUCCCACCAUGCGGUUCCUCUUCUCCUUUGUCAACUCAAGAUUUUCAUAGAGGACAGCCAUGUUGUUUUUAAACGCCUCUGACAUCAGGAUGUUUGGCUAAAUACAGCUGGGUGCCCAGGUUUGGUUGUCAGAAUGAGAUAUUAGAAGUCCCGAUUGGUUUCCAUCUCCCAGUGUUUCCUGGUCAGUCCUGUGCUUGCAGGGGAAGUGGCAGAAG